CUUCACAGCAAUACAAACCCAGAAGGAGAAAUGUAACAUGACCUCACCUUGUGUCCGUCACUGGUGACCCGAAGGCAGCCCAGUCGGGAAGAAGACAUGCAAAAGAUGUGGGCUUCUUCUUGGAGUUUGCUACAUGAGAUAAAACACAAUGAAUUCACCUAUAGGAUAAGACACAAUUUUUCUGCACUUCUGUGCCAAGGAACAUACCGUCUCCAGGGAUGCCUGAGUAGGAAAUGUACCUGCCACACCUGCUUGAAGACCCAAGGUCGGAUACCAAGAAUGCACAUAAAAAGCCUGGAGCAGCAAGUCCUGCCUAGAACUCUAGCACUGGGGAAAGGCUGGGUGGGGAAACAGCAGACAGAUACUUGGAGCUCCCUGGCCUGUCAACUUGCGUAACUGAAGAGCUUUAGAUUCAGGGAGAGAUCCUAUCUCAAAAAAAUAAAGCUGGGCUGGAGUGAUGGCUCAGUGGUUAAGAGCACAGACUGCUCUUCCAGAGGACCCAUGUUCAAUUCCCAGCA